UGAGGGACUUUUAGGGGCAGCUGUGUUUUAUUAACCCAGUCAUAAUGCCCCUAAAAAUCCUUAUUGCUCUUGCAAU
ensembl:miRNA dre-mir-365-2 microRNA 365b